rnacentral:rRNA from 1 species
GAUGAACGCUGACAGAAUGCUUAACACAUGCAAGUCUUUGGCGAAGCUGUGCUUGCACAGCCUAGCCAAGGCGGACGGGUGAGUAACGCGUAAGGAACUUGCCCUGCAGUCAGGGAUAACAGACGGAAACGACUGAUAAGACCUGGUAAAGUCAGGCGGACUCAUGUCCAGCCUGAUGAAAAGAGAUGCUGCAGGAGAGCCUUGCGUCCUAUUAGCUUGUUGGUGGGGUAACGGCCCACCAAGGCGAUGAAAGGUAGCCGGCCUGAGAGGGUGGACGGCCACAAGGGGACUGAGAUACGGCCCUUACUCCUACGGGAGGCAGCAGUGGGGAAUAUUGGACAAUGGGGGCAACCCUGAUCCAGCAAUUCUGUGUGCACGAUGAAGGUUUUCGGAUUGUAAAGUGCUUUCAGCAGGGAAGAAAAAAUGACGGUACCUGCAGAAGAAGCGACGGCUAAAUACGUG